CGUGUAGGCGGCCUGGUAAGUCGGAUGUGAAAGCCCAGGGCUCAACCCUGGAAGUGCAUUUGAUACUGCCGAGCUUGAGUAUGGGAGAGGAGAGCGGAAUUCCCAGUGUAGAGGUGAAAUUCGUAGAUAUUGGGAGGAACACCCGUGGCGAAGGCGGCUCUCUGGACCAAUACUGACGCUGAGACGCGAAAGCGUGGGGAGCAAACAGGAUUAGAUACCCUGGUAGUCC
rnacentral:rRNA from 1 species